GAUGAACGCUGGCGGCGUGCUUAACACAUGCAAGUCGAACGAAGCGCUUAAAUGGAUUUCUUCGGAUUGAAGUUUUUGUGACUGAGUGGCGGACGGGUGAGUAACGCGUGGGUAACCUGCCUCAUACAGGGGGAUAACAGUUAGAAAUGACUGCUAAUACCGCAUAAGCGCACAGUGUUGCAUGGCACAGUGUGAAAAACUCCGGUGGUAUGAGAUGGACCCGCGUCUGAUUAGCUAGUUGGUAAGGUAACGGCUUACCAAGGCAAUGAUGCAUAGCCGAGUUGAGAGACUGAUCGGCCACAUUGGGACUGAGACACGGCCCAU
rnacentral:rRNA from 1 species